GCUCUUCAAGACUGCACCUACUCCUCACACUCUAGGGCUUCACUUUUUUCCCCUUUGGGACUUCACUUCUUCAGCCCAUCUUCACUGGCCGAAUGGCCUCUCUAUUUAUUUCUUCAUCUUUUCCUUCUUUUCUUCCUUUCACACUCUUCACAUCAAGUCACAAUAAAUGGAAGCCAACUUAUCUUGACUUUGCUUCAACCAAUUUCUUUUCUUCAGCUCUUCCUUAGCCGAAUGACCCUUGCCUUUUGCUUCUUUCUUUUCUUUCUUCCUUCCAACGUGUCUCACAAGUUUAACAUCACAUAAUCAUUUAUGUGGCUUGACUUUUGUACAUCCCUUCAUAAAUGUUGUUGGACUUUUGUACAUAAUUGAGGAAAAGAUGAACCUAACUCUUCUCUUUCGGACAAGCUUCUCCAGCAAACCCAUUUCACUUUGCUGACUUCUCAGCACUUGUCCAACAAGCUCAUUUAAUGAGCUAAGACAAAGUGUGGGCUGGAACAUGGUGCAGCGCACCCAACAAAGAGAGUGUGCACGUGACUCUGUAAUUGUGUGUACCGUGUACAGAGUAAAAUUAAGGUGCACGUGUAACACGGACCUCCAUCAUGUGGAACCUUGAAGGUGCGCAUGGCAAGUAAUCAUGACCUCCAUCAUGUUGAAUGUGAAUUGCUCUGGAAUAAAAACAUCCUCAGGUAAAUAUGGGGAGAAGGGUUGGGGGUAGGAACUGAUUGAACAGAGAUCUGCAUAAUUUUGAUACGCCAUCGUUUUGGUCAUUGCUGCUUUUGCCAUCCCAUCUCUUGCUCAAGCUCACGGUCAUAGAAUCGAGUCUUGUUCAAGGCUUUGAAGUAGAUCGGUGCUGCCCCCGACGCCAGUAAGGCAAAGGAGAGCCAUUCGAUCCAUCCUGGGAAAGGUAAGGUGAGAAAUUGCAGCUACACUUAGUGGAAGGGUCCUCUUCUUGUGUAUGGUUUCGAAGCGUUCAAAGGCAAGAAACAAGUUCACGUCAUCGAUUUUUCUAUGAAUCAGGGGAUGCAGUGGCCAAGCUUAAAUGAUUUGGUUUGAAAAGUGUGUAGGAAAUUUACAAGCUUUUUCAGUGAGUGAUUUGGGUGUGGA